UACAGAGGUCUCAAGCGUUGUUCGGAUUCAUUGGGCGUAAAGGGUGCGUAGGUGGCGUCGUAAGUCAGGUGUGAAAUCUCGGGGCUUAACUCCGAAACUGCAUUUGAUACUGCGGUGCUUGAGGACUGGAGAGGAGACUGGGAUUUACGGUGUAGCAGUGAAAUGCGUAGAGAUCGUAAGGAAGACCAGUGGCGAAGGCGGGUCUCUGGACAGUUCCUGACACUGAGGCACGAAGGCCAGGGGAGCAAACGGG
rnacentral:rRNA from 1 species